GACGAACGCUGGCGGCGUGCUUAACACAUGCAAGUCGAACGAAGUGGCGAACGGGUGAGUAACGCGUAUUCAACCUGCCCUUCAGAGGGGGACAACAGCUGGAAACGACUGCUAAUACCGAAUACCGACGGCGGGGACUGCGUCUGAUUAGCUAGUUGGAGAGGCAACGGCCCACCAAGGCGAUGAUCAGUAGCCGGUCUGAGGGGAUGAACGGCCACACUGGGACUGAAACACGGCCCAGACUCCUACGGAAGGCGGCUGUAGGGAAUCUUCCGAAAUGGACGAGAGUCUGACGGAGCAACGCCGCGUGAGUGAUGACGGCCAUCGGGUUGGAAAGCUCUGUUAAUCGGGACGCGGUACCGGAGUAGAGAGCCACGGCUAACUACGUGCCAGCCGCGGCGGUAAUUC
rnacentral:rRNA from 1 species